CGUACACUCCUACGGGAGGCAGCAGUGGGGAAUAUUGCACAAUGGGCGCAAGCCUGAUGCAGCCAUGCCGCGUGUAUGAAGAAGGCCUUCGGGUUGUAAAGUACUUUCAGCGGGGAGGAAGGCGAUAAGGUUAAUAACCUUGUCGAUUGACGUUACCCGCAGAAGAAGCACCGGCUAACUCCGUGCCAGCAGCCGCGGUAAUACGGAGGGUGCAAGCGUUAAUCGGAAUUACUGGGCGUAAAGCGCACGCAGGCGGUCUGUCAAGUCGGAUGUGAAAUCCCCGGGCUCAACCUGGGAACUGCAUUCGAAACUGGCAGGCUAGAGUCUUGUAGAGGGGGGUAGAAUUCCAGGUGUAGCGGUGAAAUGCGUAGAGAUCUGGAGGAAUACCGGUGGCGAAGGCGGCCCCCUGGACAAAGACUGACGCUCAGGUGCGAAAGCGUGGGGAGCAAACAGGAUUAGAAACCCGUGUAGUCCCAUGAU
rnacentral:rRNA from 1 species